rnacentral:ncRNA from 1 species
UACGUUAAAGCUUUCCCAGGUGCCGAAAGGCUUAAUAGGAAAUCCCGUGAAAAUCGGGAGCGGUCCCGCCGCUGUGACCGGGGACGAGUUUCGCCGAAACCACUGUUUUGCGAUCAGCAAAGCGGGAAGGGGCGAAAGGUAGAUUGAUCCGGAAGUCAGAAGACCUGCCUGCCAUAUAUCGUCGGUU